rnacentral:siRNA from 1 species
AGCACGUCGGUUCCUAAAUGGUUC